UACGUAGGGUCCGAGCGUUGUCCGGAAUUAUUGGGCGUAAAGGGCUCGUAGGCGGUCUGUUGCGUCGGGAGUGAAAACUUACAGCUUAACUGUGAGCGUGCUUUCGAUACGGGCAGACUUGAGGCAUUCAGGGGAGAACGGAAUUCCUGGUGUAGCGGUGAAAUGCGCAGAUAUCAGGAAGAACACCGGUGGCGAAGGCGGUUCUCUGGGAAUGUCCUGACGCUGAGGAGCGAAAGCGUGGGGAGCGAACAGG
rnacentral:rRNA from 1 species